UACGUAGGGUGCAAGCGUUGUCCGGAAUUAUUGGGCGUAAAGAGCUCGUAGGCGGUUUGUCGCGUCUGCUGUGAAAACUCGGGGCUUAACUCCGGGCCUGCAGUGGGUACGGGCAGACUAGAGUGCGGUAGGGGAGACUGGAAUUCUUGGUGUAGCGGUGAAAUGCGUAGAUAUCAAGAGGAACACCUGCGGCGAAGGCGGGUUGCUGGGCCGACACUGACGCUGAUGCGCGAAAGCCAGGGGAGCGAACGGG
rnacentral:rRNA from 1 species